UACGGAGGGUGCGAGCGUUGUCCGGAAUCACUGGGCGUAAAGGGCGCGUAGGUGGCCUGUGGAAGUCUGCGGUGAAAGCCCGGCGCUCAACGCCGGGUCGGCCGUGGAUACUCUCGGGCUUGAGCUUACUAGAGGCAGAUGGAAUUCCGGGUGUAGCGGUGGAAUGCGUAGAGAUCCGGAGGAACACCAGUGGCGAAGGCGGUUGCCUGGAGCUUUGCUGACGCUGAGGCGCGAAAGCGUGGGGAGCGAUCCGG
rnacentral:rRNA from 1 species